AUUGAACGCUGGCGGCAUGCUUUACACAUGCAAGUCGAACGGUAACAGGCCGCAAGGUGCUGACGAGUGGCGAACGGGUGCGUAAUGCAUCGGAACGUGCCCAGUCGUGGGGGAUAACUACUCGAAAGAGUAGCUAAUACCGCAUACGAUCUAUGGAUGAAAGCGGGGGACCGUAAGGCCUCGCGCGAUUGGAGCGGCCGAUGUCAGAUUAGGUAGUUGGUGGGGUAAAGGCUCACCAAGCCAACGAUCUGUAGCUGGUCUGAGAGGACGACCAGCCACACUGGGACUGAGACACGGCCCAGACUCCUACGGGAGGCAGCAGUGGGGAAUUUUGGACAAUGGGCGCAAGCCUGAUCCAGCAAUGCCGCGUGCAGGAAGAGGGCCUUCGGGUUGUAAACUGCUUUUGUACGGAACGAAACGGCUCUGGUUAAUACCCGGGGCUAAUGACGGUACCGUAAGAAUAAGCACCGGCUAACUACGUG
rnacentral:rRNA from 1 species